UUUGUGGUUGGUUCUGAGUGGAAACCGAAUAGAACUUGGAGUCUGCUUGUUAAGAUAGCCUGAACUCCGUCUAUGUGAGUCCUUCUGUGAUCCAAAAAGAAAGAUAACUCCAUACUUGUUCGGCCUUACUCUAGAGAGAGAGAGUAUGUGUAGCGAAUUGCUCUUUGGUAUUCUUUUGUUCAUAUAAUCAGUUUUUGAGGUUGCCCAAAAAAAAGAAAAAA
rnacentral:lncRNA from 1 species